GACGAACGCUGGCGGCGUGCCUAAUACAUGCCAGUUGAGCGCUGAAGGUUGGUACUUGUACCAACUGGAUGAGCAGCGAACGGGUGAGUAACGCGUGGGGAAUCUGCCUUUGAGCGGGGGACAACAUUUGGAAACGAAUGCUAAUACCGCAUAAAAACUUUAAACACAAGUUUUAGGUUUGAAAGAUGCAAUUGCAUCACUCAAAGAUGAUCCCGCGUUGUAUUAGCUAGUUGGUGAGGUAAAGGCUCACCAAGGCGAUGAUACAUAGCCGACCUGAGAGGGUGAUCGGCCACAUUGGGACUGAGACACGGCCCAAACUCCUACGGGAGGCAGCAGUAGGGAAUCUUCGGCAAUGGACGAAAGUCUGACCGAGCAACGCCGCGUGAGUGAAGAAGGUUUUCGGAUCGUAAAACUCUGUUGGUAGAGAAGAACGUUGGUGAGAGUGGAAAGCUCAUCAAGUGACGGUAACUACCCAGAAAGGGACGGCUAACUACGUG
rnacentral:rRNA from 1 species